rnacentral:rRNA from 1 species
AUGGCGUCCAAGGGUCUCAUUGUGUUUGCUGUCCUGCUGCUUGCUGCGUCUUUCCUCGCGGCCACAGCUGAACAAACUCAGGCCAAGAAGGAGACCCAAGCCGGUGUUCAGGUCGGCUACGACGGCGGCGGUGGCAGUGGCGAUGGCAACGGGUACGCUGGACACGCUGCCGGAGCCAUCCGCUGCUGCCGGCACAACUGCUACAGGCGUACUAGCUGCCGCUGCUGCACCCCCGACGAGAUCGCGGAGGAGGUGUUCCCUUCAAUCCGGGUCGGUUUCAGUACGAAAAAUUUUUUUGAGGUCCCAAAUUAUGUAAAGUUGAGCAAGAAGGACAACUCUUACUUCUGCUGGGGGCUCCUCUUUCCUCCCUUUUCUUUCUCUCUCCUCCUUUCUUCCUUGAGAGCCGCCGAUGUGCACCCGGCUCCCCUCUCCUCUUUCUUCGACGGCUUUGCCGGCCGGAGAUGGAGUGGGAAAGGAGGCCAUUCUCUUCCUGUAUAUAGUAGCUUAGGACUGAGGUGUUUGCCUGGACUUUCCUUUUGGGCGACUGGCGUUAUGCCGUUGGAGUGCAUCCCAUCGUCGCAUGUGUACAGCGCUCGGUGGUUGCCGGCGCCGUCCUCUGCUCUUCCUCCAUGUGUCCUCCCUAUUUUCUUCGUCCCGUCUCGGUGGCGGCAGUGGAACCCGCGGGAGAACACGACGUGGUUCGAAUCCUGGGUGCAUGUUCUCGCUGGAUCUAGUCGGAUCUGCAAAGGGAUCUCCACCAAGCUGCUGUCUACAGCAUCCAUCAUGGUGAUGGAGAAGUGGCGGCGCUCACAGGGGAAGAUGGACACUGCGGUUGGGGUCCGUGAGCACACACGGCGGUGGAUUUCGAGAGGCUGUGGUGCCCUUCUUGGUUGCUGCCUGGUCUCUGACGACCCGCCGUAUUCUCAGGUCGAAGGGCGACCAUCUUCAUUCCUCCCGGCCAAGAUGCCAAAGGGGAGGCAAUCCUGCUUAACGGUGGAGUCUAUGACAUGGAGUCAUGGAGGUCUCGUUGGCCCAAGUGGUACCGUCCCCGGUGCCGGCGAGGCUGAAUCCAUCGGGGUGCAGAUAGUUCGGACCCGAUUGCAAUCUUCUUCCCUUGUUCAGGGUCUUGUUUGCAUAAUGCAGGACCUAGUUCGCAGUUUUCUGUUUCCAUGGGGUCCUGUUGUAAAAUGUACUAUCAUGCUUAUCAAUGGAUGA